rnacentral:rRNA from 1 species
AACGUACGCUGGCGGCACGCCUAACACAUGCAAGUCGAACGCAGUAGCAAUACUGAGUGGCAGACGGGUGAGUAACAUGUGGGAAUCUGCCUUGUGGUUCAGGACAACAUUGGGAAACCGAUGCUAAUACUGGAUAAGCCCUUACGGGGAAAGUUUUAAUGCCAUAAGAUGAGCCCGCAUUUGAUUAGUUAGUUGGUGAGGUAAUGGCUCACCAAGACAAUGAUCAAUAGCUGAUCUGAGAGGAUGAUCAGCCACACUGGGACUGAGACACGGCCCAGACCCCGACGGGAGGCAGCAGUGGGGAUUCUGGCACAAUGGAGGAAAGUCUAAUGCAGCGAUGCCGCGGGAGUGAAGAAGCCUUUUGGGUUGUAAAGCUCUUUUGUAGGGGAAGAUAAUGACUGUACCCUAAGAAUAAGGUCCGGCUAACUUCGUGCCAGCCGCCGCGGUAA